rnacentral:rRNA from 1 species
CUCCUACGGGAGGCAGCAGUGGGGAAUCUUGCGCAAUGGGCGAAAGCCUGACGCAGCAACGCCGCGUGGGGGAUGAAGCUUCUCGGAGUGUAAACCCCUUUCGACCCGGACGAAUGCCCGCAAGGGUUUGACGGUACGGGUAUAAGAAGCCCCGGCUAACUACGUGCCAGCAGCCGCGGUAAUAC